rnacentral:rRNA from 1 species
GGGUUGCAACAGGAUUGGCAAUCCCGGCGUCAAAGCCGCAUCCCCGGAGGGGUUUACUGCCAAAGGUUUUCGCGCUUUUCGGGAUUGUCCCCGCUUUCUAAAGACCCAACCAAGGUUAGAGGCGGGGGGCUCCACCUCCUGGGGCAAAGAAGGCUACUUUCGAGCCCUUGCCGCCCAACAAUUCCGGGCUAUGACAUGCCCUCUAAGGACUUACACGGGAGGCGUGACCCUUUUUGGCAGGGGGGCUCCCGUGGGGAAACGUGUAAGUGGCCCCCAUUUUUAAAAUCUUGUGUUAUUUCUUCCGCAAGGAGCUAUCCCCCCCCUAGGUUCAUCACCAUAAAAGGGCACUCUCAAAGGAAUUCCGGCCAUUAAACAGGAAUACCUUGGGGAGGAUCUCAAAUGAUUAUGCCCCUUAUGACUUGGGCUACACACGUGGUACAAUGGACGGUACAAAGAGGUGCAAGACCGCGAGGUGGAGGUAAUUUCAUAAAACCGUUCUCAGUUCGGAUUGUAGGCUGCAACUCGCCUACAUGAAGCUGGAAUCGCUAGUAAUCGCGGAUCAGCAUGCCGCGGUGAAUACGUUCCCGGGCCUUGUACACACCGCCCGUCACACCACGAGAGUUUGUAACACCCGAAGUCGGUGGGGUAACCUUUUUGGAGCCAGCCGCCUAAGGUGGGACAGAUGAUUGGGGUGAAGUCGUAACAAGGUAGCCGAUCGAAGAAAAAAAA